rnacentral:rRNA from 1 species
CCCUUAGAUGUUCUGGGCCGCACGCGCGCUACACUGAUGCAUUCAACGAGUCUAAAACCUGCUCUGAUAGGGGUGGGUAAUCUUUUGAAUGUGCAUCGUGAUUGGGAUAGGUGAUUGCAAUUUUUCAUCUUCAACGAGGAAUGCCUAGUAAACGCAAGUCAUCAGCUUGCAUUGAUUACGUCCCUGCCCUUUGUACACACCGCCCGUCGCUCCUACCGAUUGAAUGAUCCGAUGAAUAUCAUGGAUUGAGGAUGCAAGCAGGUUCGCCUGUCUUCAUCUUCGAGAAGUGAAGUAAAUCUUAUCAUUUAGAGGAAGGAGAAGUCGUAACA